CUGCCAGGAAGGGUUCACUCCCCCAUGGCUUUUGUUGGAGACCAUCUGGCCUGUGGAAACUGAGGCAGUAUCCCUGAUGAUCUCUAAAUAGCCAAGAGAAGAGUCAUUCUUUUCUUGUUUGGAAUGGUAGACAUUCACAGCCAUCCUCAUUCCUGUCUUUAAGACUUUAGAAACAAUAAUAUCGAAGCUAAGGGCUUCAACAUACAAAUUUUGGGGAUACAGUUCAGUCCAUAGCAAUACUUCUAUUCUCCUGACCUGCAACAUGUCCAGUUACUUCUAAAAGUAUUUGUCAUCUACUAUAUUAACAUGCUCAUUGUCAGCCUAUGAAACAAGUUGACCACUCCAUACAUAAGGUCAUAGGUAAUAUGACACAUGCAGGCUGAGUUGUCAGCCCUGAUAAGAUCUAGGGACUUGCCCAAAAGUGCAGUCCCUGGAGCUACCUGGUCCAGUAACUAGGGGAGUAUUCCUGAUAAAGUCAAGAAUUGUUGGCAGUCCCCACCUACAAGAAAGAAGCUCAAUAGCUAGUAGGUCUGUUUGGCUAUUGGAGACAACAUGUAUCAUAUUUGAGUAUUAGUUGGCUUCCUUUAGUUAAAAUUACCCACAACACAGCCACCUCUGAAUGGUGCCCUCAACAACAGCAGACUCUAGGGGCCUAUCAUGCAUUAACAUGGGCUUGCCAUUAAUGUAGGCCCAUGGAACUGUGGGUCUCACUGACUCCUAUCCAUACAGAUUGGAGACUGUGGCAACAAGAGGCUGCUAUCAGGGUGCACCAGGCCCUUGGGUUUUGGCCAUAUAAAUUGCCCAAGAUUUUUGCCAUAUAUAUUCCCUUUGAAUGGCAGCUGCUAGCCUGCUAUUGGGUUCUAAUGGAAACAGAACGCUUGACCACUAAAGCACUGUAUGUGACCUUAAGACCUGAGCUGCCCAUCUCAUGCAGGUAUUGUUAAAGAAAAAUAAAAACGGAAACUACAGUUUAGAAAUACCCCAAGGCUGACCACCUGCAACUGUGUAACCAAAACAAAUCAUUCUGAUUUCCCUGAAAUGCUGUUCUCUAAUCAUAAAUGAAAUGCGACAUGUAAGCUUUACAUCCUUGUCAGCAUGAUUCACUGAAAUUAAACCAAUCAUCUAUAAAACAAUAAGCUUAAACAGGUCAACUUUCCCUAAAAAGAAUGUGUAACAGCCAAUUAUAAAAAGGUCAAAAUAUUCCCCCCUUUAUGCAUUAUAAACUGUGUUGUAAAUGCUUGUAAGAUGAGUUUCUUACCACUUGAUUUGAGUCUUCUAGAUUGUGGUCUGUACUUCUUGUUUGAACAAUAAACUUUUAAUUUUUUCUUAACUUUAUCUGAUUUUAUUUUUUUUUCACAGUGCUCACUAAUCCUACUAAUAAAACACAACAAGUUCAGCCAACUACCAUCAUUAAAUGAAAAUGUUACGUAUAAGAUGGAGCCUGAUUGGGAUCCCAGGGGGGUCUGCCAACUCCAUGAAGUAACUGUCUUGCCAGAGCAGGCUGAACAACCCAUAGGGGAUGUUCCCUUAGCUGUGUGCACCCCAUGGUUCAAAGAUGUUUUGGCUGAUGGGUUUAAUGCUGUGUAUCACCUGAGAGUGGAAGCUAGACGGGCCAUAAACUGAGCUGGAUUCUCAACCUUGUUUUGAGUGGUCUCUUUUAGUUGUCAUAGUUGAUGGCUUUAUAUGCAGCCUGCUGAAUCUCCUCAACAAGACAAGAAAUCAUGUAGUCUCGCCUGACUAUACCAGGGGACCCUGCCUCAUAGUCCCAUGGAGGGUCUUCACAGGGGACUGCUCUGGCACCUUCCUGAAGGUCAGGCUCAAGACACUGGCAAUCUUCAGCAUGAGACUGAGCCAGGGUCCAAACCUGCUCCCAUUUUUCAGGAGUGAGAGUAGAAGUGAGGAUGACAUUUAAGUCACUCCAGGAGAGAACACUAUUCCAGUGGAUCACAGUAUCACCAUGCUCAGAUACAUUGCUGUAUUUUAUUUUCAUCCUAAUAUUUCAAUCCCCCUCCCCCAAACUACA